GGCCUGAGAGGGUGUUCCCCCACACUGGUAUUGAGACACGGACCAGACUCCUAUGGGAGGCAGCAGUGAGGAAUAUUGGACAAUGGGUGCGAGCCUGAUCCAGCCAUCCCGCGUGAAGGACGACGGCCCUAUGGGUUGUAAACUUCUUUUGUAUAGGGAUAAACCUACCCUCGUGAGGGUAGCUGAAGGUACUAUACGAAUAAGCACCGGCUAACUCCGUGCCAGCAGCCGCGGUAAUACGGAGGGUGCAAGCGUUAUCCGGAUUUAUUGGGUUUAAAGGGUCCGUAGGCUGAUGUGUAAGUCAGUGGUGAAAUCUCACAGCUUAACUGUGAAACUGCCAUUGAUACUGCAUGU
rnacentral:rRNA from 1 species